rnacentral:rRNA from 1 species
AUUGAACGCUGGCGGCAGGCCUAACACAUGCAAGUCGAGCGGAUGAAGGGAGCUUGCUCCUGGAUUCAGCGGCGGACGGGUGAGUAAUGCCUAGGAAUCUGCCUGGUAGUGGGGGAUAACGUCCGGAAACGGGCGCUAAUACCGCAUACGUCCUGAGGGAGAAAGUGGGGGAUCUUCGGACCUCACGCUAUCAGAUGAGCCUAGGUCGGAUUAGCUAGUUGGUGGGGUAAAGGCCUACCAAGGCGACGAUCCGUAACUGGUCUGAGAGGAUGAUCAGUCACACUGGAACUGAGACACGGUCCAGACGCCUACGGGAGGCAGCAGUGGGGAAUAUUGGACAAUGGGCGAAAGCCUGAUCCAGCCAUGCCGCGUGUGUGAAGAAGGUCUUCGGAUUGUAAAGCAAUUUAAGUUGGGAGGAAGGGCAGUAAGUUAAUACCUUGCUGUUUUGACGUUACCAACAGAAUAAGCACCGGCUAACUUCGU